rnacentral:misc_RNA from 1 species
GAUGAAGAACGCAGCGAAAUGCGAUACGUAAUGUGAAUUGCAGAAUUCAGUGAAUCAUCGAGUCUUUGAACGCACAUUGCGCCCCCUGGUAUUCCGGGCGGCAUGCCUGUCCGAGCGUCAUUGCUGCCCUCAAGCACGGCUUGUGUGUUGGGCCUCCGUCCUCCUCCCGGGGGACGGGCCCGAAAGGCAGCGGCGGCACCGCGUCCGGUCCUCGAGCGUAUGGGGCUUCGUCACCCGCUCUUGUAGGCCCGGCCGGCGCUUGCCGACACAUCAAUCUUUUUUCCAGGUUGACCUCGGAUCAGGUAGGGAUACCCGCUGAACUUAAGCAUAUCAAUAAGCGGAGGA